GGGCGCUUAGCUCAGUGGUAGAGCGACGUGUUUACACCGCGUGGGUCAGGGGUUCGAAUCCCUUAGCGCCCA
rnacentral:tRNA from 1 species